UGCUGGCGCGUGCGCCCGGCGGCUUGGGCGCCUCUGCUUCCGCCGUCCCUUGAGGGCAGGCGGUGGCCCGCAGAGGGGACCGGCCGUCGCGGCCUGUCUGCGUGCCCCACCCGGUCCUCCUCGGGAGAUGAUCAACUGCUCCCCCCGUCCCGCCGGGGCGAAGGAGGGAGCGGGACGGGAGCGCGGCGGGGAUACGUCCUCGCAGAGCCCUGCGAGGGCCGCUCCCCGGGAGGCUGCGAGGGCUGCAGGAGCGGCCCCUGCCCUUGGCCGGGCCCUCAGGCCUAAGGGCACCCUCAGCCCGCCAGGCGGCGGCUGCCGUCGCUCCCUGCUCCCCACCUUCGAGCUGAAGCGGCGUUCCCUUGAGGUGACAAAGGCCCAGCCACCCGCCACCCCGGGAAGGGCCGUGUGCUUACACUGCUGUAGUAAAGGUUGCAAGGAAGUAAUUUAGCUUUUGUCUCGGAAUUGCUGUGGUUAAGUGAGUAAGACUUGAAACACCACUCUGGGAUGUCCGGAUGCCUUGGCGUGAACUUCCUGGCUGCUUUCCUGACUCGUAGUGAAGCCUGGGGAGUAUCUGCUGGAAAACGAACCUAACAGGGCAUCUGCAGACCAUCGCCACUAGCUUUGGGUACUGUAGUGACGUUUAGCUCUGGAAAAAAAACGUGGUUUAAAAAGCUCACCGUGGCUUCAAAAUCUGUUGUCAAAAGUUUUGACACUGUGGAAUUUCAACAGCCUCAGGCUGUCUUGAGUCAUAAUUACACGAAACAUGUUUCUGAUCACUGACUUUGUUGGUCAGCCAUCAAAAAGAGAUAGGUGUUCCUGCUGCUCGAGUGUGAGCCCAAAUGAGAAGUACCUGUCAGAUGAACAUUGUGCACCUGGGCUCCCCUGCUGCUGUCCCCUUUGGUUGAUAGAAGGUCGUGUGGCAGAUGUGCGACAGGACAGCCUGGUGUGGAAGAGUGUUUGAUGUUCCUUCUGUCGAAGCGCUGCCUUCCCUUGCGUUUGUGCUUCAUUACUGCCCAGGGAGCCAACAGGACAUUUGGCUGAAGAAUGGCUCGCAGGCACGGGCUGGCAGAAGUAAUGCUUAUAAUGCAAGAAAUAUAUCCAGAAUGCCACAUUGCCGCGACGGGAGCAUGAGCUCAGCAGACAGCUUUCUCCUGUACAUCACUGACCUGUGAAAACAACCUUUGGCAAGACAUGGUUGCUCUGAAUGCCUCUGCUCAGGUACAGAUUUACCCAGAGGACUCUGAGGACUUUGUCUUUUUCCUCCCCUCCAGUAGAAGCGCAUGCUGCAGCAUGCAUGUCGUGGCACAUGGUGGUGCCUGUCCAUCUCUCCUCUCCAUCCUGUAGCUAUGAUGAGUCUUGCCAUGAUGCAAUCCCUGCGCAUCUUGGUGCGUUUUACAGAGAUUGAGGAAUGAAGCACUACUGCGUGUAGGGGAAGUAACACAGCAGCUGCUAUUCACAUGGAGAAACUGAAGAAAGGACAGCCGAAGUGAGUUGUGGGUGAUGCAAGAGUUAGAAGCAGGUUUUAUUUCCAGUCACCCAGUGUUUAGUCUUACCCUUACUUCUUCGUACCUAAUUAUCUCUGUUCCAUGACAUGAAGGUGAUAGUGCUGCAAACCACUUUUGCCAUACGCAGAGCACAAGUGGAAGAACACUUCAUUCGGUAACUCUUAGGCAGACCCCUCCUUAAGGAAAUUGGAGAAGGUGCCCUUCAGUGCAGAGCAGCUUGCAGAAGGGUUCUGGUGGAAUCCUUUCCCCAGCAUGGGCCCUGGUUCUCUUUAGGAGCCUUAACCUUCCUAUCAGCUUUGGGAUGCUAAGAGUUUGCUGUAAUUUCAGAAGGGAGAAGUGUUAUCAUGCCCGUUUCUCCACCAGUAGUUGCUAUCUGAAAGCAGGCAGUGGUGGCAGCAGUGCAUGAUGUUUUGUUGGAGUAUUAGAUUUUUACAAAAUGCCAACUUGAAGUCACCUAAAAAAUAAUCUUUCAACUGUAGAAUCAGUGUAAUGUUGCUUAUGCUAAAAUGUUAACAGCAGGAGGACAGGCUGGAGUACCAUCCAGUUACUAGCUGGUGUGGUAUGCUGCUACUCCAUGUGAAAGCUGAAAGGAAGCAUGGGCUAACAUAGGGCUGGCACCCUCUGCUUCCCCCGAGGAUGCAGCAGCAGCGUGUGUUCAAGCUGUGGCGCAGAAGAAGCUGUGUCUGGCUGAGGAGGAGGAUCAAGUAUGCAUACGGUUUGAUGGUACAGCUAAUCUGACCUAGUGACUAGCUAUCUCCAAGGAGAGCGGCUGUGCUCUACAGCCCUGGCUAGUCCAUCUCCCCCUCCCAUCCCUGUGCUGCGACUGGUGUGCGUCUGACUCUGCAGGGGCCUGAUUCAGGGAGCUGAGUGGCAGGAAGGUUUCCCUGUGUUUUGCAGGGCUAACUUUCUGCUAAUCUUGUUUCCUGAACCAUCUCCUGGGACAUCAGACAGCUGUUGGUGCUAACGCAAGACAGCAUGGUGGGAACGCAUAGUGAGUGAGGGGGAGUAGAAACGUCCUUUUAUGCAGCAGCUGGCUGUUAGAUUGUAUUAUCUGUACUCUCUGACUGCAUCCUGAGUCUUUGUUACAGCAAAUGCCACAAAUCCUUUCAUGGGAAUAUAGGUGUGGUAGAUACUGCAGUAGGAGAUAAUAAAACCUGGUUUCUGGUUUUAGAUUUCUUAGGAAAACCAGUUGGAAACAUGUUCACAUGUAUUUAAUAUAGCAACUGCUAGACUAGAGGAUAAAUAUAAAGCUAAAUCAGCUUAUGAACCUUAGUGCUGACAAAUAGUUGUGAAAGCCUUUAGUCUCUCAUGUUCUUGAUUUCCCAUCUCACAUGGUGAAAACUGUUAGUGCUUAGAUAGCAUUGAGGCUGUCAAGGCACGCUGGAGGGGCUGCGUAGCUAGCUAGGUAGGUAGCAACGAUCUGUGUAAAAGUAGAGAAAGAUUUCUUCACAAAAGCUUUAGCACUCCUUACAAAAGCACUUUGUUUUAGAAGGGCCAGAUGUGCUACAUUUGAUUUCUGAUGAACUACUUACAAAAAUAAUCUUUUCAGUGGCUUUUGGUCUUUGCCUGGGGAUAGAGAGAAAAGCUGCUGGAAAUUCAUUAUUUAUGUUUAGAUGCUUCCUCCUUCUCCAGCCACUUCCCCAUACUGGAAUACCUUGUUGAUUUUGCAAGAAACUCUUUCCAAUGAAUAAACAUCUCAGUAGGAAUCUAAUUUAAUUUUUACAAAACUUGCUGGAUCAUUUGAACUCAUGAUCCAAGUUUUGUUGGAACAAGGACUUGGAAUGGCAUAUAAGAAACUUUUAAAAAUCCUUCCUUUCACAUCAUAGUAUGAUUGCAGGCUCAUCAUUCCACCAGGUUUAUCUCUGUCAGUGACAUUUAUAAUGAACAGUUUCGCAGUGGGAUAGCCAGCAGUGUCUUUUCCUACCUGAAGCAUCACCAGAAAAUAGCAGAGAGAUCUGAUGCCAGACUGUAUGUUUUUAUGCUAUAGGAUUCAUUUGAUUAUUUAUAGAAGCUGCUGACUAUAAUUACAGCACACAUGAGACAGAAAACCUGAAAACCUACCAGGCUGCUAUGAAGAAAUACACAAAUAAUUUGUAAAUUCUCUCUCCUUUCUCAGAUCAUAGAGAAACUGCUCACUCUUAUGUGUCAAGAAUGAUGGCAGGUAAUUUUUAAUGUUAAAAAGUGACCAUUCCUAGACAGCAUUGGGUUCACAAGCCCAGGGUCUGUGCCAUCUCAUCUCUUGCACCACCAUUUGUGUGUAUUUUCUCUCAUCAUCGCUAUUCUUGAUGGAGUCUCAGCUUGGUAAGUUCCGCACUGCUAUGUAAGAAGGUAUUAUUGCUGCUCUGAGGAGCCUACAUUCUGUGAGGAAAAAAAGGAAAUCUGCCAUCAUCUGCCUUUCUUCUUGGUUGUUGUUGGGUGAUCUCUUAAUCUAGUAAUCUUUUUAUCAAAAUCUGGCAGGUGGUAUGUGCCAAAUGGCCUUUUUCCAGAGAUUAAAUGUGGACUUGUUUGUCAAGUAACUGUGUCAGGAAGGAUUUUCCAUAUGUGGGGGAAUGUGGAAGGAAAGGUGUGGCAACACUUGUGUGCCCAUUCCUGUUAUUCGCUUGUGGGUCAAGUAUAGUGGAUUUGGGGUGUAUUUGAUUUCAUCAGUCAUUAAAAAGUAAGUAGCUUUGUUAGCUAAUGUUUCACUUAAAGAUCAAAAUAUCUACAGACUACCUCUCAUAUAUGUUGUGUGCCUUUAUAUUCUCUAAUAUAUGUCAUUUCUCAGUAGUUUUUGAGUCCACUUUAUGAACUGUGUUGUCACCCUGUGUAAGUGUUGAUAUUGUGAAGUCCUAAUCCAACAAACACUUGCAUGGUUACCUUCAAUCCCGUGCAGGGACAUGUGAAGGAAAGCCAGCCAUCUACCUAAGGUUUUGUGUGACAGGGGGCAAGGUUUGUCAUGCUUGUCUGAAAACACAGGAUCCAUCUCGGCACUUUAUAUGACCAUACUGCAAAUGUGAUACAAUGACGAUAUCAAUAUUUAAAAUAUGAAAGAAGGUCAGAAGUGAAAGAUGAUAAAUCUUUUAUGUCAUGAUACCAUCAAAAUAAGAGAAAUUACCUAGGGUCACCCACACAUUGAUGCUAUGUGGGUGCCUGUUCAAAAGAAGUUUGGCCAACGUGCCUUAAAGGAUGUUGGGAUCAAGAAAGAGCCAAGCAUAUAAAAAACAAAUAUCAAAGUAUAUCAGUAUAUCAAAAAGUAUCACAUUUGCACAAACUGAACACCCUGGCUAGGACUUUCAGUGUACAGUAAAAGGAUGUGACCUGGACUGCAGGCUCUCCUGCACCUUUGCCUUUUCUGGAAGUUUAGUCCAAAGUUAAAGCAUGUUUAUUAAGUACUGCUGGGAUGCUCACAUUAGUGCUUAUGCUGGCUUACGUAUUGCAAAAUUAAUCAGAUCGCGUUAAUUGCACACUUUAACUGCUUCGGUGUUACUUGAAUUAGAUGUCGCACUAGUGAGCUGAUGGUCCUGUGACACAACAGAGCGCUUGCCAUUUCCAUGUGGGUGCUGUGCGCGCAGUGGAGGGGUAGUUCAGUCUGGAUAUAUUUGUACUAUAAAAAGACGUUUACGCGCUGGGAAGUGGAGGGUCUAUGUCCUUAACCUAGCCCCCUUCAGCUAUCAUGAAAAAUACUGGAGGGGAAAAAAAAGUCAGACAAAAAAACCUGUUAGUCUUUAUUUUUAUUAUAAUUUUAACAACAUGAGUAAAUUGAAAUCUGUAAGCAAAGCAAUUACAUGAGGAGGGUCUAAUAAAGUUGUUCAAGCUACAACCUAC